rnacentral:rRNA from 1 species
UGGGGAAUUUUGGACAAUGGGGGCAACCCUGAUCCAGCAAUGCCGCGUGAGUGAAGAAGGCCUUCGGGUUGUAAAGCUCUUUUGUCAGGGAAGAAACGGUGAAGGCUAAUAUCCUUUGCUAAUGACGGUACCUGAAGAAUAAGCACCGGCUAACUACGUGCCAGCAGCCGCGGUAAA